UACAGGGGGGGCAAGCGUUGUUCGGAAUUACUGGGCGUAAAGGGUUCGUAGGUGGCUCACUAAGUCACACGUGAAAUCCCUCAGCUUAACUGGGGAACUGCGUGUGAAACUGGAGAGCUUGAGGGUAGGAGAGGAAUGCAGAAUUCCAGGUGUAGCGGUGAAAUGCGUAGAUAUCAGGAGGAACACCGGUGGCGAAGGCGGGUCUCUGGGCCGAUACUGACGCUGAGGAGCGAAAGCGUGGGGAGCGAACAGG
rnacentral:rRNA from 1 species